UACGUAGGGGGCGAGCGUUAUCCGGAUUCAUUGGGCGUAAAGCGCGCGUAGGCGGCCGCCUAAGCGGAACCUCUAACCCCGGGGCUCAACCUCGGGCCGGGUUCCGGACUGGGCGGCUCGAGUGCGGUAGAGGAGAGCGGAAUUCCCGGUGUAGCGGUGGAAUGCGCAGAUAUCGGGAAGAACACCGAUGGCGAAGGCAGCUCUCUGGGCCGUCACUGACGCUGAGGCGCGAAAGCUGGGGGAGCAAACAGG
rnacentral:rRNA from 1 species